CACCACCACCACUACCCCACUACCUUUUCCUUCAUUGCAGUGCACUAUAUUUCUCACACCCUUUGUGCUCCCUAUCCCUGUCCCUGCAGUACUCAGUUGCCUCCCAAGGGGGCGCACCUCACACUUUGAGAACAACUGUUUAAAAAAAGAACCCUGUUAAACCAUGCUGAACAAGAAAGCAGGACUAGGUGAUGAUGGAGGCAACCAGACUUAAUCAUUUUAUAAUUACGACACAGUAUGGUUACUGUACAUCUGUCAAAGUCAUCACAUUAACAUAACAUAACUACACGCCUGGUUAAGGGUCAUCAGUUUUGAAGUCCAUGACAUCCAUGUUAUAGCUGAGGUCCAGUGAACCUCAAUCUAAUAACAGAGUAGGAGUUAGAUGUCAUUUCACAUCCAAAACAGGUGGAUACACUGAGCACAGGUACAGGUACAGGUACACUCUUCCAGCAGCCACAGGCAGGAAAAUAAGAGGAAAACAGGCCUGGCUAUUAUGAAUAUGGAAUAAUUUAACACUACAGAGAGAGAGAGAGAGAGAGAGAGAGAGAGAGAGAGAGAGAGAGAGAGAGAGAGAGAGAGAGAGAUUUACCUAACCCUUUUCCUGAUGGCUAUGACACUAUAUUUACAUUUACUCAGUUGACACGCGCUUUUAUCCAAAGCAGGUAACAGUUAAACAGGGAUUUGAAUUCACACACACGCACAAGGGAUUAAACCCUUCAAGCCUGUGUGUGUGUGUGGUGUGUAUGUGUGUGUGUGUGUGUGGUGUGUAUAUGAGUGUGUGUGUGGUGUGUAUAUGGAUGUGUGUGUGUGUGUGUGUGUGUGUGUGUGUGUGUGUGUGUGUGUGUGGUGUGCAUAUGUGUGCGUGUGUGGUGUGUAUAGGAGUGUGUGUAUAGGAGUGUGUGUGUGUGUGGUGUGUAUAGGAGUGUGUGUGUGUGUGUGUGUGUGUGUGUGGUGUGUAUAGGAGUGUGUGUGUGUGUAUAGGAGUGUGUGUGUGUGUGUGUGUGUGUAUAGGAGUGUGUGUGUGUAUAGGAGUGUGUGUGUGUGUGUGUGUGUGUGGUGGCGAGUGUGUGUGUGUGUGUGUGUGUGUGUAUAGGAGUGUGUGUGUGUGUGUGUGUGUGUGUGUAUAGGAGUGUGUGUGUGUGUGUGUGUGUGUGUGUAUAGGAGUGUGUGUGUGUGUGUGUGUGUGUGUAUGUAUAGGAGUGUGUGUGUUCUCAGACUCCAGCUGUAGUGACGCUGGGAUGUUCUGACCCACUCACCUGGAUGUUGUGGUAGAGAAGAGAAGAUGCUGUGAAGUCCAGGGCCUGCCCGACAGCGCGGUGCUCGCGCGCUCCUCGUCUGCUGAGUAAAUCCGCACACUACACUCCCCGCCGCGCUUCCGGUCCUCUGAAUCCACACACACGUUCAUGGUUCAUGAUUUGCGUUUGUGUGCAGUCGGUUCAUCUGUAGUUCCUCAGCAGUGUGUGCACUGGACUGUUCCACUGACGGGCUUUAUAGCGUCGCUGUGUGUUACUAGAACCGGUCUGAUUCCGCCUCCGAAACCAGCACGAGCGCACCUGUCCUUUCCUCUGAUUGGUGGAGCGCCAGGAUCGGUCACGUGGUCUCCAGACAGGUAGGCCCGAUUUAGCUCGGCGCAGGAGCGGUGGUUGCCUUAGCAACGCGCUGCGAAUCUCUUUCCUUCUUUCAGUUCGGCUUUGUAUUGUAGUGUUUUUUUGCGAGGUGGGGAGCAUUCUUGAGGUUUCUGAACGAGCCCAACCCUUUACUACAAUGUCGCUGUUACUGCAGGAGUUUAGAGAAGCACAAGCAGCACACCUCUUUGACGUAGCUUAGGGGUUUUUUAAUUUAUUAUUAGGAGCUCGUGAAGCCAGUGCAUGCUGAUGGUGAG
ensembl:lncRNA